rnacentral:rRNA from 1 species
GAUAAACGCUGGCGGCGUGCCUAAUACAUGCAAGUCGAACGAGGAGUUCUUGUAGCAAUACGGGGACUUCCUAGUGGCGAAUGGGUGAGUAACGCGUUGGUGACCUACCCCAAAGAGAGGAAUAACUCCGGGAAACUGGAGCUAAUACCCCAUGUGGUUACCAGGGUUAGAGGCCUGGCAACUGAAGGAGCAAUCCACUUUGGGAGGGACCUGCGUCCCAUCAGCUUGUUGGUAGGGUAACGGCCUACCAAGGCUACGACGGGUAGGGGGCCUGGGAGGGUGGCCCCCCACACUGGCAAUGAAACACGGGCCAGACACCUACGGGUGGCAGCAGUAGGGAAUAUUGCACAAUGGGCGAAAGCCUGAUGCAGCAACGCCGCGUGCGCGAUGAAGACCUUCGGGUUGUAAAGCGCUUUUCCGAAAGACGAGGAAGGACGGUACUUCAGGAAUAAGGAUCGGCUAACUACGUGCCAGCCGCCGCCGUAAAAC